rnacentral:rRNA from 1 species
GAUGAACGCUGGCGGUAUGCCUAAUACAUGCAAGUCGUGCGGAAAGGCCUCUUCGGAGGUACUCGAGCGGCGGACGGCAGAGUAACGCGUAGGAACAUACCCCAAACUGAGGGAUAACUGCUCGAAAGAGUAGCUAAUACCGCAUGUGGUCUUCGGACUAAAGCUUCGGCGGUUUGGGAAUGGCCUGCGUUCGAUUAGCUAGUUGGUGAGGUAAUUGCUCACCAAGGCGACGAUCGAUAGCUGGUCUGAGAGGAUGAUCAGCCUGACUGGAACUGAGACACGGUCCAGACUCCUACGGGAGGCAGCAGUAGGGAAUUUUCCACAAUGGGCGAAAGCCUGAUGGAGCAAUACCGCGUGCAGGAUGAAGGCCUUCGGGUCGUAAACUGCUUUUAUGUGAGAAGAAUUUGACGGUAACACAUGAAUAAGGUACGGCUAACUACGUGCCAGCAGCCGCGGUAA